AACGAACGCUGGCGGCAGGCUUAACACAUGCAAGUCGAGCGCCCCGCCAGGGGAGCGGCCGACGGGUGAGUAACGCGUGGGAACGUACCCUUAUCUCCGGGAUAGCUCCGGGAAACUGGAAUUAAUACCGAAUGUGCCCUUUGGGGGAAAGAUUUAUCGGAUAAGGAUCGGCCCGCGUUGGAUUAGCUAGUUGGUGGGGUAAAGGCCUACCAAGGCGACGAUCCAUAGCUGGUCUGAGAGGAUGAUCAGCCACAUUGGGACUGAGACACGGCCCAAACUCCUACGGGAGGCAGCAGUGGGGAAUAUUGGACAAUGGGCGCAAGCCUGAUCCAGCCAUGCCGCGUGAGUGAUGAAGGCCUUAGGGUUGUAAAGCUCUUUCACCGGAGAAGAUAAUGACGGUAUCCGGAGAAGAAGCCCCGGCUAACUUCGUG
rnacentral:rRNA from 1 species